rnacentral:lncRNA from 1 species
AUGGACAACGUUUGUGUGGAGCUAAGAAAUCCAAACUGGAAACUGGAAAAACUGACGCUGUCCUACUGUAAUCUGAUUGCUGCUUAUCUUCAGGAUCUCCUUUCUGUCAUCUGUAGCAGUGAGAACCUAAAAACCUUGGACCUAAGCUAUAAUUUAUUUGGUGAUGAAGGAAUGAAGCUGCUGUGUGAGGCCUUGGAAAAGCAGGAUUGUAACCUACAGACACUAUGUGAGUCUCCCAAGUUUCCUUUCUAGAAUAUUCCCUAAGUGUUAAGGUGAAAAGGGAAGUAGGAAGAGCAAAUAACAGGAAAAAAAGAAAUUUAAAAAAAUUUUUCAAUUAAAAAAUCCACCUUAUCUUCCUCUCUCACUCCCCUCCCCUGCCAAUUUGAAAAAAGAAAAAGAAAACUUCUGUAACAAAUAUGCAUAGUCAAGCAAAACAUAUACCCAUAUUUGCCUACCCCAAAAAUCACGUGUUCUCAGUCAGUACCCUGAGUCCAUCACCUUCUCUGUGAGGGGGGAGGUAGUGUGCUUCAUCGUGAGUCUUCUGGAAUUGUGAUGGGUCAUUGUGUUGAUCAGAGUUCUAAAGUCUUUCCAAAGUUGUUUGUUGUUAUAAUUGUUACUGUAUAAACUGUUUUCCUGGUUCUGCUCACUUCCCUCAAAAUCAGUCCAUACAAGUCUUCCCAGGUUUCUCUGAAACCAUCCCCUUAGACAUUUCUUAGAGUAUAACGAUGUUCCAUCACAUUAGUAUACCACAACUUUUUGGGCCAUUUCUCAUUUCAUGGACACAAUCUUAGUUUCAAGUUCUUUACUGGAACCACAAAAAGAGCUACAAGCAGGGAAAACUGAAGAAGGACCCCAGAGUCAUCCAGUCUCAUCCAAUCUGAUUCUAAGACAUUUUCUUUCUUGCUGGACAUUCUAGGUAGGAGAGCCCUCCCCUUCUCGUUCCCCUACCUUCUGCUGGGGUUAGUUUGCUCAGAGGAGAGUCCACUUCCUUCUGACAAAUCCAGUGGGCUUCUCUAGUCUUUUUUUCAGUCCAUCCCCUUCACCUGAGACCUGUUCCUCCGUCUUACUCUUCUCUCUUGUUUCCUUCUGGAAAGGAAGGGUCAGUGUGUCUAGUAUGAAAAGGCUGAGCAGCCCUGGAAGACAGAUGCUGGAAAAGAGGCAUGGAGGGAUCUGUUAAGGACAACUGCCACAUUAAUGCUUACAUGUGAGGACUGAAUCUCUUCCACCCACUAAUCCACAGGGCAGAGACAAUGAUCUUCUGUUGUUUUCCUGUAGCUCCCACAGAAUCACAGCAUCUCAGAGAAAGACCCCUCAUCUAUUCCAGAGGGUCGGACCUUGGGGCUAAAACAUUUCCCAGGGUGGCCCAACCAGAUUCAGAUGGGAAUGUUUAGUAAAAUAAAUAAAAAUGCAGUGCAACA